UUUUGGUACAGGUCAAGAUUUCUGGAAACCCCCAAAAUCUGGGUUGGCCAGCUUGUCCUUAAAAGUGACCAUUUAAGUUCCACACGAGUUUAGUUCUGUUUGUGCUUCUGCCCUUUCCUUGACCACCACUGAGCUGCUUUCUGCUGUGCUUUCAGCCCGAUUAUUGUAGGGGGGAAAAAACGACAUGUUCUUUCUGUUCAGAAGAUUCGUCUGCAGUAUGUGAAAAUGCAACGCUGCUGCUGCUGCUAAUUUUUUUAUGUGUUCUGUGGCUACAUUUUCUGUUGUGGGAAGAUGGAUUGCAUCUAUUUUCUCCCCUGGUUUCUUGCAUGAAGAUGUAAUAAUGGUUCAACUUUUAUUCAGUGUAGGGCUUUCACCGGUUAUUGUGAUUUUGAUGAUGCUACGAAACACCAUCCCAUGAACUGCUGUCCCUCUCUCUCUCUCCUCCCUUCUCUCCACCCCUCUGUGGGGGUUUUUGCUUGUCACCCCCGAACUUUGCUUUAUUUUGUUUUUAACACAGCCUGUGAUUCCACUGCUUGCCUUGCUUGUCUUGUUUUGCAAAUCGAUACAAUCUAAAAAUGAAUUGGAUCAACUUACACACACGUUUGUUCAUUUUCCUUUAUCUUUUCUGCCCAAUGGUUAUUCGGUGUGAAAUUUAUUUCUUGGGACAAUUAAUACUUGCUCUUAUAGACCUUAACAUUAUCAUCUAUUGGAGAUAUAAAGAACCAACUGUGGUUUUUGUGAAUUACAUUUUAGUAACUCCUGUAUAAAGAAAUGUUUUCUUUUUAUCUUUGUGAAUGAGUUGAUUCUUUGCCAUGUAGCGGAAUUCAAUAUUGAUAUAAUGUUUAAAGUGAUGACAAAUUUUCAAGUUUGAAAGAGGGGAAUUUUCUUGAAUUUGAAGGGUGGCUUCUAAAUCGAAGUAGACAAGACUUGAUGUUUUAUGCCAUUAUCAUCAUUUGAAGUGACUUAAAAUUUCGGAUGAGUCGAAUUUAUCUUGGUUUUUCUCUUUACAACAGUAAAACAAUGUUAUUAUUAUACGUCCUGGUAUUGAUGGCAACUGAGAAGAAUUGCAUAGCGUCCAUUCCUUUUGUAAGAAAAGUUUACAGAUUUUCUAUUGCGCUCAACAUAAAGAGGAGGCUCUCAUCACUGUACAUUUACCAUAAUCAAGACAAGAAUUCAGGUGGUGCAAAAGAGCAGCAUAUUAUACAAGUAGAGAAGUGUGAAAUUGAUUAUAGAAAUCUUCCUGCUUGUUCACUUCCAAGCUCGUUAUUAUGUUGUCCGAGCGUCAUUUUCAAAGCAGAAUAUUGUUUGAUUCUUUAUUCGCCCUUGUUGCAGCAUCAUGAAUUAUUGGUCUAAAUGAAAGAUUUGUGAAAUGCUACAAGUAGAAUCUCCUGAGCUAAAUGGGCAUUUGCUUGUUUUUUUAUGGGGUUUUUUUUUGGGGGGGGGGGGGGGUUAAUUCUCAAUGUCGUAUGUGUCUUUUUUAGAUGAAAGUGUCUGGAGGUUUUCAGUUUAUUUGCAGUUAUUUUGAAACUGUAGAAUUUUAAUACAUGUGUUCUUUUGGUAGCAAUAUAGAUAAUAGAUUAGAAUUUUUGGCUUCUGCCAUGCAUUUUAUCGAAUGUAAAAAUAUAUAUAUGCACAGCUAGUUUCACGAAAGAGUAUAUUGUCAUAUUUUGUCCAUUUUCUCCGUCAGUAGCCAGCAGAUCUCUUACUUACGUUUACACACUUUGAGCUCCCAUAUUUUUUCAGUAACCGUAGAUCUGAUUUCGGCUCCACACUUUGAUCCUUUUCUCCUUUUUUUAUUAUUUAGAGCUAUCAUUAAUGUUACUGCAAGUUUUCGCUUUAUUUUUUAUUUUGUUUUGUAUUUUAAUACUUUGUUACGUUUCAAAGGUGCUUCCAAAUAACGCUGUGCUAGUGAGUAUACACGAAAAGUGCAAUCAAUUUCUUUUGUCAUCCGUUGCCGAAGGUUUGGUCUAUUUUUUAGCUGCUUUUUCUUUUUCCAAGUUUUGCGUUAACAUGAGAUGCUUCCAUUAGUUGUCGAAGGGGGUUUGGUUCAUUCAAAGUGUACCAUUCACCAAGUACUUCUGAGCUGAAGAUUGUACCUAUGAAAUGGUGUCAUUUUUAUUUUUAAAAUCUUGUGGCAAUUGUUGCUUCACUUAAACAUUCAUAAUUAUCGAACAAGCACUUCGAGUUUUGUCAAAGCUGGUUUUGAUCCAGUUCUAUCUACUGUCUUGACGUUCUUUCUCUGGUUCCUGUUGAAACAGUGUUAGUUUCUCUAGUUUGCUGUUCACGGUAUACUAGUGAAGUUGCCGUGAUACAUGUUCUGGCUAUAGCUCAGACUUGGCCACAGAUUAUGUUUUUCUUGUACCAGGUUCCGUGGAUAACUUCUUUUGAAUAUAACUCCUACUGUAUUACCCCCACAAUGAUAAAUGAAUUUUCUAGUCGGGAGAUGAUACCUUGUUCCAAGGUUUUACUACAUAUUCAUUUUAUGCAAAUCUUAUGUAACAAAUUGAUUAUUUUCGCACAAUCUUUGAAUAGUAUAGAACGCUUUCUCAGGAACUUACAGUCUUCUGUGUUUGCAUAGAAGCUUUUUUUUUCUAUAGAUCUGUUGCGAGAAUAGGCUUUCACAGAUUUAUUAUUUAUUUUUCGUUAUUAUCCACACAAAAAUUGAGACUUGUAAAUCCAGUAAUAUAUAUAGCACAAUGGUGUACAAACUAAGUGAAUUGUUUGUUUUAGAUAUUUCAGUUUUGCUUUUUUUUUCAUCUUCAUUUUACACCAUUAGAAGUAUUCAUGUUUUUCAUUAAAGAGUUUUCAGAGUUUAGAUACAGUCAAAACUGUGGAAAAUGGCCACCCAUUGUCCAACAGAACAUUGACCAUCUUAGGCAGGAAGACGUCUUACACAGUGUCAUCAUAAUGUUUUAAAAAAUGCAAGUGUGGAUGGUGGGGGGGGGGAGGGGGGGAUGAUGGGAAGGGGCCGUUUGUAUAAGUCAUUGUCUCAUAGUGAUAACCGUUAGAGUAAGUUCGAAUGUAUCCUUACUGUUGAUUCCGUAUUUAAGGAAUUUGAAGGGCUUCUAUCUUAUCCUCCUUACAGAGGUUGGUCGUAUACUUGGUGCUUAGAAACACAGAAAAAAAAACUAUUUGUUUGGUCCACUUGACUUGCCUGUGGUGCCUUGACAGUGCCAUUUUUGCAAGUGUUUGGAGCAAGCACGCUGUGUCCUUAUAGAUAUUGUCAUCAUUUCCUAAAUGUGGCAGCACAUUUCACGUAUAUUGGUCAGGAUGGAUGGAGUCCAGCAUCAUAGCUGUCUUCAAUUACAGAUAUGUGUUUCUAUUUUGUGAGAAAUUUUCAAAUAAUCAAAUGUUCAGUUUGCAGCAACAUCCAUUGUUUACUUAAGAGUGUAAAAGAAUGUUUAGAUUUAUUUUAUUUUUUUUGGGGGGGGGUAUAUUUAAUCUUAUGAACCAAAUGUUUCAUUUAUUAUUUAUUGUUAUUGUCUUCGUCUUGGUUUUUUAAAAUGAUUUCAUUGGUUUUAUACGAGCAUUUCAUUGGCACAUAGUCUAAGCAUUGGCAUUUUUCAGUGUUUUACUAGAGGUGCUGCUACAUUCUUCUUACUUCUCUGUCUUUCUCUCUCUCGGCAUUACACUUCAUGUCUGUAUACCAGCAUCUGUCGUGUGGUGGUUAGGCCUGUAGCUGUUGCACGCUCGAGGCCUGACUUCGAUUCCCGUGUUGAGAGAAUUUUUAAGAAUAUCUCAGUCUUUCUGCUAGGAUGACUGAUCCUUCUCCGCCUGGGUUGGUCUUGACAGGCAGGGCCAAAGCCCACCUUCUAAAUGAUCUUAAUUGUGUUGAUGGGGGUGCAAAAGCACUCAUAUGUAAAAAAAAAAAAAAAAGAAGAAAAAUUUGGUUAUUUUGUCAUAUCUUUUUUAAAAAAUAAAUAAACAAAAGUUAUGGACCAAUGCGUGUGUCCUUCCUGGUAGAUAGAAUUGGUACUAAAGUCAUGAACUGAAGACACAGCUACGUGUUUGAAAUAUGAAGGAGACAUAAGGAGGGGUUGUGGCUCACAGAGCAGGACAGGGACACCUCCAACAGAGAGGUGAUGUGGGAAGAGCUCAAGAUGGGGACAGCUGGGAAGUCUAACUCUUUGAGGACGAAACAGACACGUUUAUGUCCGAUCAGUAGCAGGCCAAAGGCCAUAUUGCAGCACAUUUUGAACGUACAUGUACAAAUCAAAUCAUGAAUUUGAAUAUGUUUCAUAGUAGUAUUUUGUUUGCCAUUUAAAGUUUCAGAUUAAAAGAACAGAAUAGGGGGGAAAAAUCUGAAGGAAUAAUGAAAUUACCCUUCUUUUUUUGUUUUUUUAGUGCCCAAAAAACAGAACAUCUAACGUCGUUAUGCGACCAAAACCUGCAUCCUCAAUGAGUGACACUACAUGUUUUGUUUUGGGGGGGGGGUUUUGUACACGCCCUGUAGGAUCAAGUUUGUUUGUUUUUUAUAAGGUGAAUGGGAUUUGUUGUUUUGUUUUGUUUUUUUUGCUGCACUCAUGUCUUUUAUAUGUGCUCAGUUAUUUGCUACAUUUAUAUUGAAAAAAAAAAUUAUUUUCAGCACUUUUUUUAUGGUGAUGGUUGAUAGUUGUAAAAUGAUAUGUUGUCUUUUCAUAUCAUGAAAAGAAGAUUGCUUAACUCAAAACAUAAAUUGUGCUGAAAGGUACGAAUCUAACAGGGUAAACGUUAGCUUGCUUUCUGGUUAAGAGUGAGCUUGUUUUCUGGUUAAAAGUUAUGGGCAGAGUAAUGUAUGGCCCGCCAGCAUGUGUCUUGUGCUACUACAUACGUGUUGGGAAUUUGAUUAUGAUGGUUUUGGUGGACUUUUUUCCCUCAAGUUCUAGGACCCACAAUGUUACAUACAAGUACGUUAUUGCACUGCUCAGCCAAAUUUUAUUUUUACAAUGGUGUGACUUAUUAUGGAUGUGACUGGUAUAUUUGUGCUAUGCGUGUAUGUAUAUAUUUGCCCUCUUGCAUAGUUUGGAAAGACUUGAUUUUUACCAUUGUUUUUGUUUUUGUUUGGAGAUGUCUGUUAAGUGUUUUGGUAUUGAAAUAGUAAUUACUGUAUAGUAACACCUCUAAUAUUUUCCACUCCUAUGACCUGUUUGUGUUGCAAUUGCCGUAAAACUUGUACUAAAACUAUUAAAAAGUGGUCGGAAAAUAGGAUGGAAAGCGUCUGGAGAAAUCACACAGUGUUACAACAACUGAGACUGCAAAUUGAAAUUUUUGAGACGUACACCAACAACUUUAUACAUGUAUUAUAACUAACAGUAGAAAUGACCACAGUCUUUAUUGGGUUUUUUUGCUUGUUGUUUGUUUGUGUAAGGGUUUGAGAAGCAGCCGACUACAUACCUGAGAAAACGUACUAAAUAAUUGGUUCGUUUUCAGAUUUAUCAACUUAAGUUUCUUCUUGUGAUUUACGACUCUCUGUGCUCAUGGAGAAACAUCUUUUCCUCUUCCUAUGGAAGGUAUGUGAGGUGUGCCGACAAAAACAGUUACUUAUCAUUUUCUUCAAGUCUACUGUGUGUUUUAUUUUACCAUACUUGAAAAUUGUACAAACUCUACCUAUAAGGUUGAUGAAUCUAUUUCCAUAAGGCUAAAAUCUGAGAAGUAACUCAUUUUAUCAGCACACCUCUCAUACUGUGCAGGAUGGCUCAAAUGUUGCUCAAAUGUGAUCUGUCAGAUUGUCCAGAAAGACGUUUGUGUAUACCGUAUGUAAAGCGUCGGUAUAGCUAUAGGGUACACAGCUUAAAACGUACUGUCAGCUGUAACGUUCACUAUGUGAAGCCCCAAGUCCCGUCUAGUAUUUUUACUCUCAUUGGUUAAUGCAUGACACAUACCUCAGCAAAGAUGUUAAAAAAACUGAGGUCUGAAGGCAGUUCGUUAUAUCGAAGUUUGUGUGUAUAGGCCUAUAUGUGAUGUCAUUGGUUGGGAUAUAAAUUCUAUCAAAGUCGUUCAAAUUCACAGACACUUUUGUGUAUGCUAUUCAUUUCAACUUUUGAGUAGGCCUCUUUUUUUUAAAAUUAAACUGGUCUUUGGUUUGCCUUCUAAGAAAAAAUGUCCUUAAUUUCAGUAAUUUUUACAAAUUGCAGAAUGAACAAUUGUUUGGGUUUUUUUGUUUUUUCCCAAAAUCAUUUUCGUUUUGUCAGUAGGCCCUAAUUAUUUUGUUUCACCACUCGAACUGUCUAGUCAGAUUUGAUCUGAAAAUUUUUGUUCUUUGUUGAAUUGUGCUUCUUUUUUGUAAUAAUUCAGAUUGUAGGCAUCGGAUGCCUUUUGGUUAGGUUACCCAACUCGUAAUUAUGAGAUUGUGAGUUCGGGGGUUCGAGCCUCAGCUUGGUCCGAUGUUGUAUCCAUGGGAAAGACACUUUAUAUGAAUUUCCCAUUUGGCUCAGUCCUUUUAGAGACGGAAGUUAAACUGGAAGGUCCCGUUAAAUAACCUAAUAGUGUUGAUAGGGGCGUUAAACAAUUACCUUUUCACCAUUUUUUUCUGAUCACAAGUAUGCUUCUAUUGCUAUGUUGUACAUGUGUUUGUAUACCAGUGAUGGUUGGAUUUGCCUUUCUCCUUCUAUGUCAUCGCUGUGAUACAGGAUAUUUUAUGCUUGUUUGUUUGCCUGUAUCUUAACAACAUGUGUGAUAUAUGUGGAGAGCUUUUAAACAACUUUUCAUGUUCAUAUACCUAAUAUUUGGAAUUUGUUAAUUUUCUUUAUAGAUUAUAUGAGAACUAAAAAUUAUGUUUACAACUUUUGAUACCCGGUAUGCUUUAAAUGAUUUCCUGUUCAGUCGGAUUAAAAGCAAGCAUAUCAUGUGA
rnacentral:lncRNA from 1 species